GCACGCACGCCAAAGCGCGCUGGAAGGGCGUUCCGUGACGUGUCCAUAUACGUCUGCUUUAUCAAGCGUCUUCCCGCGCGGCAGCCUCCCUAUUCUUCCUGCUCCUCAGAGCUUCCUGUCUCUCCAGCGCUUUUACUUUUCAAUUUCCAGGACUCAAAUUCACUGCCAUGUCUUCUGAAGAAGGGAAGCUGUUCGUGGGAGGACUCAACUUCAAUACUGAUGAGCAGGCGCUGGAAGACCACUUCAGCAGCUUUGGGCCUAUUUCUGAGGUGGUUGUUGUCAAGGACCGGGAGACUCAGCGAUCCCGGGGUUUUGGCUUCAUCACCUUCACCAAUCCAGAACAUGCCUCAGAUGCCAUGAAAGCCAUGAAUGGAGAGUCCCUGGAUGGUCGGCAGAUCCGGGUGGACCAUGCAGGCAAGUCUGCCCGGGGCACCAGAGGGGGUGCCUUUGGGGCCCAUGGGCGUGGUCGCAGCUACUCUAGAGGUGGUGGGGACCAGGGCUAUGGGAGUGGCCGGUAUGACAGUCGACCUGGAGGAUAUGGAUAUGGAUACGGAAGGUCCCGAGACUAUAGUGGCAGAAGCCAGGGUGGCUAUGACCGCUACUCAGGAGGAAAUUAUCGAGACAAUUAUGACAACUGAGUUGAGGCAUGCACACGUUAAGUAGGUGGAUGGAGACUCAGGAACUUCUCAGACUUCUGUCUCACCUACUGAGCCAGGCCCAGGUUAGGGGCAUUAUGGCUAACCCCCCCACCAGGGUCUCACUGAGUUGCUUUAGUGUCUCAUUUUUGCUGAGGCUGGCUUUGAACUUGAGAUCCUUCUGCCUCAGUUUCCCAAGCUGCUGGGACUACAGGUAUGUACCAUCAUGCCAGGCCACCCACCUAUAUUUUGAGACAGUCUUCACUAAUUUCCUGUGGUUGGCCUCAAGUUUAACAUUUGACCUGCCUUAGUCUCCAGAGUUGCUGGGAUUAUAGGCCUGUACCACCAUGCCCAGCUGCCAUUGAGUUUUUUUUUUUUUUUUUUUUUUGUAGAUGGACACAAUGCCUUUAUUUAUUUAUUUUUACGUAGUGCUGAGGAUCGAACCCAGUGCCUCAUGCAUGAGGGGCAAGAGUUCUACCACUGAGCUACAACCCCAGCCCCCAUUUUUUUUUCUUUUUUUAAAGAGAGAGAGAGAGAGAGAGAAUUUUUUUUUUAAUAUUUAUUUUUUAGUUUUCAGUGGACACAACAUCUUUGUAUGUGGUGCUGAGGAUCGAACCCGGGCCGCACGCAUGCCAGGCGAGCGCGCUACCGCUUGAGCCACAUCCCCAGCCCUGCCAUUGAGUUUUUGAUACAGACUGCUUUGGGUGCUUAUGGAUGCUUGAAAAAUAUAAAAUCUUUUUAAUGCA